UACGUAGGGUCCGAGCGUUGUCCGGAAUUAUUGGGCGUAAAGAGCUCGUAGGCGGUUUGUCGCGUCUGCUGUGAAAUCCCGAGGCUCAACCUCGGGUCUGCAGUGGGUACGGGCAGACUGGAGUGCGGUAGGGGAGACUGGAAUUCCUGGUGUAGCGGUGAAAUGCGCAGAUAUCAGGAGGAACACCGGUGGCGAAGGCGGGUCUCUGGGCCGUAACUGACGCUGAGGAGCGAAAGCGUGGGGAGCGAACAGG
rnacentral:rRNA from 1 species